rnacentral:rRNA from 1 species
UACGAAGGGGGCUAGCGUUGUUCGGAAUUACUGGGCGUAAAGCGCACGUAGGCGGAUAUUUAAGUCGGGGGUGAAAUCCCGGGGCUCAACCCCGGAACUGCCUUCGAUACUGGGUAUCUUGAGUUCGGAAGAGGUGAGUGGAAUUGCGAGUGUAGAGGUGAAAUUCGUAGAUAUUCGCAGGAACACCAGUGGCGAAGGCGGCAUUCUGGACCGAAACUGACGCUGAGGCGCGAAAGCCAGGGGAGCAAACGGG